UGCAGGAAGCUGUGAGUGGCUUUUACUGGAAAACCUACUGGAGAGAAAAAGGCAGACUGCAACUUCCAUGGCUUCAUUUUCAGGGAGAAAAACCCUCUGGAAAAACUGAAUACAGAUAAGCAUUAUGUAUUGCUUAGUGGUCAAUUACAGCUGAGAUCAACCUUGCAGUAGGAUAUUUAAGCAAAACAGUGUUCAGUAAAUGAGAUCCUCUACAAAAGCCAGAGAAGAACAAUGCAGACCUUGGCCUUGUGAGCAGAGGACAAGCAUGUGAUUGAACAAUAGCUCUUCUACACAAGGAAACUAACCUUAUACAGGGUUCCACUCAAAUCAUAUGAUAACGGCAAAAGCUUACAUCAUCCCAGUGUGUGCUAAUAAUAUAUAGAGACAAGAAAUGAAGAAACACAAGAGCUCUACAAGCUCCAUCACCUCUUGCCCUAUCUAAGCAGAGGUUUCUGAAACCAUCACUGAAACAAAACACCAAAGUUCAAUUUUCCAAACACUGCAUACCUUCUCCACAUCCACUGGAUAAUUAUUUAGAGAGAUUUUUUAAAAAAACUAUCCAGGCAACAGGAUGAAUCACCAGAGGGGAUGUGGAAUUUCCUUCUCAGAAUUCUGUAGAGAAAGGUGUGUUGGAAAGACAAAACAGGUCUAACAAAUGGGACACUGAAUCUGGUCUGGAACGUCUUCUAGAGAAGAUAGAGAGAAUUACACCUGUUUUGUGAAUGUGAGCCCAAGCAUAUGUAGAAGAAUCCCAUUUCCAAAGCAGCACAACCUCGCUGAUUUCAGGCUGCAUGUCAUUUUUGCAUAGGCAAAAGCUGAGGAUGACCUUCUGGACUGAAAGUCUCAGGGCCCAGCAGGACAAGAUGCUCCACUGUGGCCCUGCUGCACCUCCUGCUCUGCUUCUUUUCUCAACACCAAAGACCAGGCACGUGUGUCCUCACUAAAAGAAGAGGUGGAGAGACUGGCUACCUUCAUAGCAGGAGAAGUCCCACCACAACUGAACAUCAUUGAAGAGAUGCAGAUCGAGCUCAGAUGCCUUGCUUGAGGGAAGAGGAUGGCUGAGGAGUGAGAUUCACAACGAAGUGAACUGAGGUUCAUCAUGCAGGAGGGAAAUGAAAAGAUAAAGAGAUCUUUCACGUCUGCUCAGAAACGCAGUUGCCAAAGUUUGCAGAGAAGUACCAGUUAUGUAAAAGUCAUCCCACUCUGACUAUACAAUUGCUUUGCCAGUGUUUCAUUUAAGCAGACUUCUAAGACCUAGGGGAAGGGCUAAGCAAAUGUAUAAAUAUGAACGGGACAAAGGAAAAGAAUAAAUAAUUCUGUUGUU